GAAAAGAAAAUUUACUGGAAAAAAUAUGUCUCGAACACAUAAAUAAUAGGUUCGAGUCCUAUUCUUUUCG
rnacentral:tRNA from 1 species